UACAGAGGUCUCAAGCGUUGUUCGGAUUCAUUGGGCGUAAAGGGUGCGUAGGUGGCGCCAUAAGUCGGGUGUGAAAUCUCGGGGCUUAACUCCGAAACUGCAUUCGAUACUGUGGUGCUCGAGGACUGGAGAGGAGACUGGAAUUCAUGGUGUAGCAGUGAAAUGCGUAGAGAUCAUGAGGAAGACCAGUGGCGAAGGCGGGUCUCUGGACAGUUCCUGACGCUGAGGCACGAAGGCCAGGGGAGCAAACGGG
rnacentral:rRNA from 1 species